UACGAAGGGGGCUAGCGUUGCUCGGAAUCACUGGGCGUAAAGGGUGCGUAGGCGGGUCUUUAAGUCAGGGGUGAAAUCCUGGAGCUCAACUCCAGAACUGCCUUUGAUACUGAGGAUCUUGAGUUCGGGAGAGGUGAGUGGAACUGCGAGUGUAGAGGUGAAAUUCGUAGAUAUUCGCAAGAACACCAGUGGCGAAGGCGGCUCACUGGCCCGAUACUGACGCUGAGGCACGAAAGCGUGGGGAGCGAACGAGGAU
rnacentral:rRNA from 1 species